rnacentral:lncRNA from 1 species
AGGGCUCCGUCAAGCUCGGCGUCGUCUAGGGUUCCGGCAAGCCCGGCGUCGUCUAGGGUUCCGCCAAGCUCGGCGUCAUCUACGUCCUUGUCAAGCUCGGCAUCCACAAGGUAACGGCCCCAAUUCCCCCGCUAUGUUCCUUCCUCUCUGUGUGGUACCGCAAGAUCGAGGCUAUUUAGUUGUGUUAGUGUCUUUUCCGGUGUUGCUACGGUUUGCAGAAGGUGGUCUUGUACAUGGCAGUUCUGAUUUGGUGAAUCUGAGUCUAGACUAGAGGGUUGCCUUCACAGAUUGGAUUUCAAGGCAUGAUGCAGCAUGAUGAUGAUAGGGGGUUUAUGUGUUCAUGUGCUUUUGCCUUGGGAUUUUGCGUGUUUCUGUUGAUGAUGCUAUGGAGUUUGUUUAGCAUGAUGGAGAAGUUCUUAUCUCCUGUUUUAUAUGUUCUCUUAGUUUCUGUAAUGUGUAGCAGCAUCAUGGACUAGUUCAGUUGACUUGUUAGGAUGUAUUUUCCCGAGAAGCAAGGACCUAUCAACAUGUUAACCAACUAAAAUUACUUAAAUUUUUGUGUGCUGGUUCGAUCAGUAGUAGUGGUCUGCUCUGUUUCGUGUUGUCGGUGCAGCUUCUUCUGUUUUGUUGUUAAUUAAGAAAAACCAAUUGCUGGACUAGCCACUAGGGGCAAAAGAUAGCAAUCAACAUGCACUUGUGUAGAUGUGGCGGAUGCUUCCGGAUCCAGGGUCCUGGCAAGUUCGCAUCAUUCUCUUCUCUGAGUUUAAGGUUUCAGCACCUACCCAGCAAGUGGAUGCACAAACAGUUUUGUCAUGUGAACAUGUUCUCUUUGUUGUCUGAGAGUUGUGUGUGAUGUGUAGUAGUGGCAGUUUCUAUUUGUUCAUAUGUUUUGUCAUGUGAGCACGCAUCUAUCAACAUUUGCAGUUAUAUUGUAUUAAGUAAUUUAUAAGCAAAGUUUGAUCUUGCUUAGGCAAGCAUGAUAAGUUGGUUGCAUAAGUCAUUGGAGUAUAUAUCAAAUAUCUGUAUAGAUUUAGCUACUUUGUUCCUAUUGCUGCUUGUUGUUUAAUCUGAAGCUCAUAUCUCAUUUUUGUUAAUCUGAUGCUUACUAUAGUAGCUAGUUUUCUUGUGCCCUUUUUGUUUUGCCUAAGAGUGAUGCUAUAAGGAAAUGACUAGGGAAUAGAUAAUGUGAAUAAUGCAUUCCCAGGAAGAGAGUGCUUGCUGUUUCAAGAUCGAUGAACUUUUCACAUCAUUUUUAUAGAUGAUACCUGCUAAUUCACUGUUCUAUUUUUUCUCUUGAAGGAAAACCACUCUUCUUUCUUAAUUACAAUACACCAUAAAUAAUAUUUGUUCUCCUCGGUAGCUUAGAAAUAAAUGGUUCAACAAACAUUAGCCAUUAUUUAGUUCUUGAAAUCAGCCAACAAAAUUAAUAGUGGUUCUGAAAUUCUGUACGUCGACUCUCAUUUCUGUUCGGUGCUUAUCCUUGUGUAGAUAUGUUGUAUAAAAGUCGAGAAAGCAUUUUUUCUGAUGGACUGGUGUUAGCUCUGGUGAUAUUUGUUGUAGGUUACGACUAGCAGGUAUACUUGGAUGCUUUUUUUCAUGUAGAUAUGUGUGCACUGGCGUUAUUUGUAGCACUUCAGAACUAGUACCUUGACCUUUUUUUACAUGAUGGAUAACCUUUGUGUGCUACUCGUUUCGCAUAUGUAUUGUUCAGGUGCUUAUCACAUUCACAAUUUGUAAACGAUGUAUUCCACAAGCAUUAUUCAGGGAACACUAUCUACGAACAUUAUUUUAGGGAACAUUAUUGAAGGAACAUUUUCGGGGGAACAUUACUUAGGAACAUUAUUUAUUUUGAAGAAUAGUUUUUGACUUCACAUAAUAUUUUUAAAUUUUGCAUAGUUAUUUGGGGACAUUCAUCGGGGAACAUUAUUUGGGGAACAUUACUCUGGGAACAUUAUUUAGCUAACAUUAUUAAGGGAACAUUUUUCUAAGAAAAAUUGUUGGCUCCAGCGAACAUUAAUUAAUUUAGUUUGAAAAUACUGUUCUCAGGAAAAGUUACAACCUGCAACUUGUUUAGGCUUUUACCAACAUUAUUCUUCGUUUUAUGGGAACAUUUUGCAAGGAAUUUCUUUAUUCUAGGGAACGUUAUUUUAUUUAUAGAACAUUUUAGAGUUUAGAGAUAGUUUUUUAAAUAUACCUAGAACAUCUUCCAUGGAACAUUAUUUAGGGAACAUUUUUGAAGGGACAUUUAUGAGGGAACAUUAUGUACGGAACAUUAUUUAGGUAACAUUAUCAAAGGAACCUUUUGAAAGGAGAAGUUGUUGACUCUAGGGAACAUUAUUUAUUUUGAAGAACAUUUUCUGACUUCAAAGAAUAUCUUCAAAAUAUAUGUAGUACAUUUUCCAGGGAACAUUAUUCAAGGAACAUUUUCCAAGGGACAUUUAUGAGGGAACAUUAUUUUAAAAACAUUUUCCCACGAACAUUAUUCAGGUAACAUUAUGAAGGGAACAUUUUUGCAGCUAACUUGAACAAGUGAUAUAUUUUCAAAGUAACAUUAUUUAUAAAACUUUUUUUCCAGCUAACAUUAUUGAGGGGAACAUUAAUUAUGCAACAUUUAUUCAGGGAACAUUUUGCACGGAAAAUUUGUUGACUCCACAAAACAUUAUUUAAUUCGAAGAACAUUUUACGGAUAUCAUUAAAGAACAUUUUGUUUAAUUGUUCGUACCAAACAAAAUGCAUGCACUUGCCCGGAGCAAAGAAAAAUAACAAAAAAGAAAGAGGGCAAUGAACCAUGUCCCCUGUGACCUCAUUCAUACGAAACAUUUUUUUUGUAAUAAGUGCUCUUAUAGAUUAUUCAUUUUGACAGAGCUUAGACUAACAGUUUGUUCCUUUCUAAAACUAUGUAGGUCAAAAUGCAUGUAUUGAAGGAAAAACAAUGGAUACUGAUUGUUGCUAAAUUCAGAGCCAAAUUGAUUGAUAUUAUUAAUCCGUACUACAGUGGUGAUACAUUUCUACCGACAAUUAGUUCACUAAUUUACAACUUCAAGGCUUUGUUCGCUGCCACAUACGGAAAUACUAAUUCUUUUAACAUAGGAAAUUUUGAGUCAACAUUUGUACCAGCUCCCAAGGUCAAUUUCAGGUGCCUUUUUUGAAUGGAACUCUCCCCUGUACUUAUAACCCUGAUAAGCAACUUUUGUGCUCUAUCUCCACAAAUAACAGAUACAAAGAAUUUAAAAUUCACCAAAUGUUCCAUCACUAUUUUUUUACAGGUAUGACUCAGGGAUUUUCCUUCUUCAAUAUUUGAGCAACUACAGAGGUCUCGGAAUGGAGGGUUUCCCUAAUGCAAGUACCACCACAAUUACUCCAUUGAAAGCACUUUUUUCCCUUCUUUGUGAUUCUUCGGUACAUAACAGAAAUUAAAUUGCAUUUUAUUUUAAAAUUGAAGGAUGAUCUAUAAGCUCAACGUGAGAAAUACCAUUUUGAGAUUGUCACUUGCAAGGACAAUGAAAUUCAGCUGCCAUUCGUAACUUCUUUCCUGCAGAAACAUGUAAAUUCUCUAGUUCUUUCCUCCUUACACCAUGUUCUUUGUAGUCAAUAGUGCAAUUAAUUUCAUGUAAUCACAUUUCUGUUUCAGCAGGGUUUCCGCAUAUUCAAGUGAAGCUUUGAAGGCCAAUCAUUUUUAGUCCUGCAUAUGAACUCAUCUUAGGUAACUUAAUGAUCUGCAGAUUCUCUCACUAAAUAAUAGUGCGUACUGUAACGCUUUUCACCCAAAGAGUCCCAUUUGAGGAAUGUUUGGGCCUGUUUUCUUCUUGGAAGGAUCAUGUAUAACCAUAUUCCAUUUUUUUUCAACCUUUUACUAUCCAAAAUUUCUUGUACCUAUUCCCAACUAACUUAUUUCCCUGUUUUUUCUGAAGGGUCUCAUCACUAUUAUUUAUUGUCAACUUCAAGGGAAAUUGCAGUGCAAGACUUUUUUUGAACUGAAAGGAAUUCUUCCAUGAGGGAAAUGUUUCCUUAAUGAUACAGUUCUAUGUUUUUAUCAUGGUGCCCAGUGAUACUUUCUUGCAUUACUUUCAUUUGCAAAGAAGAUUCAAAACUGCAGAAUUAGUUUGUAAAGAAGCACUAAGCAUAAUUACUGUUUUUAAAUGUUUCUUCGACCUUUCAGUACUGUUAUUUAACAAGCAUAAUUACUGUUUUUAAAUGUUUCUUUACUUCAGCUAUAUUCUUUUGUACAAUUCACUGUUUUAGAACUAGCAGAAUUAUUGUUCUUUAUACAC